GUUUGAUCCUAGCUCAGAAUGAGCGCUGGCGGCAGGCUUAACACAUGCAAGUCGAACGGGUUUAUAGUGUUUACAUUUUAAAUUAGUGGCAGACGGGUGAGUAACGCGUGGGAACUUACCUGAUAGUGAGGGAUAACCAAUGGAAACGUUGGCUAAUACCACAUACGCCCUACGGGGGAAAGAUUUAUUGCUAUCAGAGAGGCCCGCGUCAGAUUAGCUUGUUGGUAAGGUAAUGGCUUACCAAGGCUUUGAUCUGUAGCUGGUUUGAGAGAAUGGCCAGCCACACUGGAAUUGAGAUAAGGUCCAGACUCCUACGGGAGGCAGCAGUGGGGAAUAUUGGACAAUGGGCGAAAGCCUGAUCCAGCCAUGCCGCAUGAGUGAUGAAGGCCUUAGGGUUGUAAAGCUCUUUCAGCAGAGAAGAUGAUGACGUUAUCUGCAAAAGAAGUCCCGGCUAACUACGUGCCAGCAGCCGCGGUAAUACGUAGGGGGCUAGCGCUAUUCGGAUUCACUGGGCGUAAAGGGCACGUAGGUUGUUUUGUAAGUUGGGCGUGAAAUCCCUGGGCUUAACCCAGGAACUGCGUUCAAAACUGCUUGACUAGAGUGCGAGAGAGGGUAAUGGAAUUCCUAGUGUAGGGGUGAAAUCCAUAGAUAUUAGGAGGAACGCCAGAGGCGAAGGCGAUUACCUGGUUCGUAACUGACACUGAGGUGCGAAAGCGUAGGGAGCAAACAGGAUUAGAUACCCUGGUAGUCUACGCCCUAAACGAUGAGUGCUAGGUGUGGGGGAUUUAUUCCUCUGUAUCGUAGCUAACGCGUUAAGCACUCCGCCUGAGUAGUACGGUCGCAAGAUUAAAACUCAAAGGAAUUGACGG
rnacentral:rRNA from 1 species